CUCUCUCUUCAGCGUCCUUUUCCCUCUCCGUCUCCCUCUCCCUCACCGCCGCUCCUCUCCCCUCCACUCUCACCGCCAUUUUCCUUUCUUGAUCAGUGUGUUUAGAAUUGCACAGAAGCUUCGAAUUCGAGUAAAAUGGCGAUGGUAGUGGCACAUUAGCACAGAGAGAGUAGCAGUGAUAGCAUGAACAGGCAUCUCGAUGCCGAAAAAUAUGUCCGGUACACUGGCGAGCAGGUGGAAGCCCUCGAAAGGGUUUAUGCCGAGUGUCCGAAGCCGAGCUCUUUGCGUCGGCAGCAAUUGAUCCGCGACUGUCCCAUUUUGUCUAACAUCGAACCCAAGCAGAUCAAAGUCUGGUUUCAGAAUCGCAGGUGUUGAGAGAAGCAACGAAAAGAGGCUUCUCGGCUGCAGACUGUGAACAGGAAACUGACGGCGAUGAACAAGCUGUUGAUGGAGGAGAAUGAUCGGUUGCAGAAACAGGUGUCACAGUUGGUAUGCGAGAAUGGUUUUAUGCGGCAACAACUGCACACUGCGUCGGCAACUACUGAUGCAAGCUGUGAGUCUAUGGUAACCACUACUCAGCAUUCUAUGAGAGAUGCUAAUAAUCCUGCUGGGUAACCCUCCAACAUCAAUGCCAUCACCCGCUCCUCUCUGCAAUUCUAAACACAUUUGAAUAGAAAUAAGAAUUCUGUUUUAUGGAAAAUGGUUGCGAUUGUAUUGGUUGGGUUAUUUUCACACAUUUUUAAGGUUUUUAAAAUUCAGGAAAUGUGCCUGUAAAAUUCUAUGAAAAUGUUUUUGGGGAAAAUUAGUCUAUUCAUGAAAUUUUUAUGUUAUCAGUGGUCCCAGAACAAUGUAAUUUAUGUUAAUACCCGCUUUGUUGCUGCUACAAAAUGAUUUGGUAAUUCAAUUUUUAAGGGGCAAGUGCACUGUUGCAAUUGCUGAUUUUUCAAUGCUAUAUGGUUAUGUGAAAAUGUUUUAUAAAGAUUAGUUUAUAAUUAUUAGCUAGCUGGUGGAGUCAUUUGCAUUGGAGUUGGAGACUUGAAUACUUGAGUUAUUUUUUUGGGUAGUUUUUAAUUCUGUAAUAUUUUAAUUUAUUUAUUUUUAUGUAUGUGGAGAGGGAAUAAAGGUUGCGACUUAAGAAUGAUGACAAGUACUAACGGCUCCAUAUGCUCCCCACUACCUCUCUUAGACUCUAAUGACAUUGUUAUGAAAUUGUGAAUUGAAUCUUGAAGAGUAAGAUUCACUUUUGUUAAAAUAAUAUAUAAUUUUUUAUAUGAAUAUUAAUAUAUACAUAUAAAAUAAAAUACACAGAUUGUGUUUAAAAUGAAUAUAUAUACGUAUAAAGCCAUAUAUAGUAAUAUGACUAAUUAAUCUCUAUUAUAUUUCUUGCUAGAGAGGCGAAAACAAUGUUGUUUCAUGCACUAUGUAAACAAAAAUAAAAACAUAAUCGAUUGAAUUGAUGUGAAUAGCAAUUAAUUGUAGAGAAUUGCAAAUUGAAUCACAUGAAUCACUCAAUUUCCAAUUGAAUCCAGAAUCUAAUGGUUCUAAACUCCUAUAGUUUGACAAAACUAUGGAUAACAAUAAUAAUCUUGUUUUGUAUCCUGUUUCAUAUCACAUUGUUACUGGUUGUCCAGAGUUGUUUCUUUAUUUUCUCCAUUUUGGCUCUGUAGUUGACAGCUUGUUGAAUUCUCUGUUUUUGCC